rnacentral:rRNA from 1 species
CCUACGGGAGGCAGCAGUGAGGAAUAUUGGUCAAUGGGCGGGAGCCUGAACCAGCCAAGUCGCGUGAAGGAAGAAGGUACUUAGUAUUGUAAACUUCUUUUGUCGGGGAACAAAGGCGGAGACGCGUCUCCGGAUGAGUGUACCCGAAGAAAAAGCAUCGGCUAACUCCGUGCCAGCAGCCGCGGUAAUACGGAGGAUGCGAGCGUUAUCCGGAUUUAUUGGGUUUAAAGGGUGCGAAGGCGGGAGGUAAAGUCAGCGGUAAAAUGGCGGGGCUCAACCCCGGCGGGCCGUUGAAACUGGUUGUCUAGAGAUGGAGAGAGGUAUGCGGAAUGCGUGGUGUAGCGGUGAAAUGCAUAGAUAUAGCGAAGAACUCCGAUUGCGAAGGCAGCAUACCGGCGGCAAACUGACGCUGAGGCACGAAAGCGUGGGGAUCGAACAGGAUUAGAUACCCUAGUAGUC